GCUACUAUACUCUUGAGUAUAGACCUGUUUGCACUCAUAAGUUUUCGGCCUUUGGAUAAAGCGAUGCGUGGUUAGAAUGAUAGUGGUCCUCGGUUAGGAUGAUAGUGGUAUUCUAGAGUUGAGUGGGUAGUUGGUUGAAUAGUAUAAUCUAAUGGAUAGAAAUGAUCAAAGUGCUAGAUAUAACAGCAAAAAACUUAUGAGUAUAAAGAGGUCUAUACUCAUAAAAGUAUAGUAGCCAGACUCUCUCUCUCUCUCUCAUAUAGCACCUCUCUCUCAUGUUUGUUGAAAGCAUGGAACCCUCUGUGCCUGCAAGAUGUUUUCAUGAUGUAACAACCAAUUCGACGAUAAGCUCCAUUAGACAUGAUUUAUACUAUCAGAACUAUUUAGCAACCAAAUUUCAUAAUGUUUCGACAUCAUUAAUU
rnacentral:lncRNA from 1 species